GGGUCUCUAUAUGAGUUUUUCUCUUUACAGAUUCACCAAUGAGAGCUUAUGAACACACUCAAGUGUGUCCAGUUUUCUCCUACCAUGUUAUUAACAGUCCAUCUCUUCCUCACCUCUGUUACUGUUUCAUUGCCUUGAUUUUUUUGGUCCAACUUAAACUCCAGGACAAGCCAAAGGGGUUAUCCAAAGUUCUCUGUUUUACUACCUUUUUUGUUUCUUUGUUUUUUAAAGGAUUAUCCUCGCAAUCAACCAACAAACCAAUUGCCUGAACCAAUGGGAGGUAAGUGCCAAGUGGCACAAAGAGAGCAGAAUAUUCCAAAGGCUCCCGUGUACCUGCAAAUCUGGUGGCCGGAUAUGAUAAGUUAGAGGGUGAGGGUGACAGAAGCUGGGAAAUGAAAGAUGGGAUUGUUUUCUUGUCAUCCUGUACCCCUGCCACCUGGCGAUGGUGUUUCUGGAGAGUUACCUGGAAGUCGAUGGAUCCGUACAGAGAAGCCUGAGUUGGGGCAUCGGUGAAGACAGUGUUUCUCCAUGCUCCCAUUAUUCUUCCAGAACUGUUAGGAGUGGAAAUCAUUUCACCUUUGCACUUAGAAUAAAGCAACUCAGCAUUCACAGUAAAUUGCGUCCUGCAUACU